rnacentral:rRNA from 1 species
GAUGAACGCUGGCGGCGUGCUUAACACAUGCAAGUCGAACGGAAAGGCUCCUGCUUGCAGGGGUACUCGAGUGGCGAACGGGUGAGUAACACGUGGGUGAUCUGCCCUGCACUUCGGGAUAAGCCUGGGAAACUGGGUCUAAUACCGGAUAGGACGAUGGUUUGGAUGCCAUUGUGGUAAGUUUUUUCGGUGUGGGAUGAGCUCGCGGCCUAUCAGCUUGUUGGUGGGGUAAUGGCCUACCAAGGCGUCGACGGGUAGCCGGCCUGAGAGGGUGUACGGCCACAUUGGGACUGAGAUACGGCCCAGACUCCUACGGGAGGCAGCAGUGGGGAAUAUUGCACAAUGGGCGCAAGCCUGAUGCAGCGACGCCGCGUGGGGGAUGACGGCCUUCGGGUUGUAAACUCCUUUCGCUAGGGACGAAGCGCAAGUGACGGUACCUGGAGAAGAAGCACCGGCUAACUACGUG